AACGCGAAGAACCUUACCUGGGCUCGAAAUGCAGGAGACCGGGGUAGAAAUAUCCUUUUCUCGCAAGAGACUGCUGUAUAGGUGCUGCAUGGCUGUCGUCAGCUCGUGUCGUGAGAUGUUGGGUUAAGUCCCGCAACGAGCGCAACCCUCAUCCCUAGUUGCCACCGGGUCAAGCCGAGCACUCUAGUGAAACCGCCCCGGAUAACGGGGAGGAAGGUGGGGAUGACGUCAAGUCCUCAUGGCCUUUAUGUCCAGGGCUACACACGUGCUACAAUGGUCGGUACAAACCGUCGCAAAACUGCAAAGUUGAGCUAAUCGGAAAAAGCCGGCCUCAGUUCGGAUUGGAGUCUGCAACUCGACUCCAUGAAGCUGGAAUCGCUAGUAAUCGCAGAUCAGAACGCUGCGGUGAAUACGUUCCCGGGCCUUGUA
rnacentral:rRNA from 1 species